UUCGGGGCACGUGCACGCCGGAGCCCUUAAUCCAUACACACCUGUGAACUUAAUGUAAGGGUCCGUAAAAGGCCCCUACGUCUUUCAUCAUAAACCCAGUCUAAUAGAAUGUAAUCUAUGUCCUCGCCCUAAAAAAGCGUUGAUAAACUUAUACAACUUUCAACAACGGAUCUCUUGGCUCUCGCAUCGAUGAAGAACGCAGCGAAAUGCGAUAAGUAAUGUGAAUUGCAGAUUUUCAGUGAAUCAUCGAAUCUUUGAACGCACCUUGCGCUCCGUGGUAUUCCGAGGAGCAUGCCUGUUUGAGUGUCAUUAAAUUCUCAACCCCGAACCUUUUGGUUUCGGGGCUUGGACUUGGAGCGUGCUGGCCUUCCGGGGUCGGCUCCUCUCAAAUGCAUCAGCGGAAUCUAACCUUUGGUUUCCGGAAGUCGGUGUGAUAAUCAUGUUGCGCCGUCGUCUGACUUCAAAGUCCGCUUACAAUGGUCUUUGGACAACUUAUCAAAUUUGACCUCAAAUCAGGUAGGACUACCCGCUGAACUUAAGCAUAUC
rnacentral:rRNA from 1 species